AUGACAGGCUCAGGCCUGAACCGAUUAGAAAGUUCUCCGUGAUGUCUAGUGCCUCUUGAAGCGCCUGCUCUACCCCGGCGUCGGACCCUCCUAUGCACCACACGGUGAUAUCGUCCGCGCGGUGACACACAAUGUUGCA
rnacentral:lncRNA from 1 species